rnacentral:misc_RNA from 1 species
GGUAAUCUUUAUUAAUUUUAUUUCCCUCAUAGCUUUGGGCAAUUUGAGUGAUUAAACAUUUUGUAUUUUCUUUUACUACAAUUUCCCGUUUCUCAUAUUUCCCUAAAUUUCUGUAUACCUAAAUUUUCUUAUAGUUCAAGAAUGCUCUCUUCAAAAUCUAGGUAUCUAUAGUUAUCUUUUAAAUAUUCAUGUGAAGAAGUCUUAGAAUUUGUAUGAUGCCCACAAGUUGUUCGAUGAAAUUCUGGCAAGACAUUCGCACCUAGACUAUUCUGAUAUCGGUUUUGCAUGGUGUGAAUAUUGGCCUUAUAUGGAUUGUUUCCUCUGUUUAUUGAGUUUCUCAAUUUCCAUGGUAUGAAUAUUGGGCUUAUUUUUAUUGUUUACUCUGUUUAUUGUGUUUUUCAAUUUGCAUGGUAUGAAUAUUGAGUUUUUGAUAACUUCU